rnacentral:rRNA from 1 species
UUUCCGGUUGAUCCUGCCGGAGGCCACUGCUAUCGGAGUUCGAUUAAGCCAUGCGAGUCGAGAGGGUUCAGACCCUCGGCGGACUGCUCAGUAACACGUGGAUAACCUGCCCUAAGGUGGAGCAUAACCCCGGGAAACUGGGGAUAAUACUCCAUAGAUUAGAGACACUGGAAUGUUCUUUAGUCGAAAGUUCUGGCGCCUUAGGAUGGAUCUGCGGUCGAUUAGGUUGUUGUUGGGGUAACGGCCCAACAAGCCUGUAAUCGAUACGGGUUGUGGGAGCAAGAGCCCGGAGAUGGAAUCUGAGACACGAUUCCAGGCCCUACGGGGCGCAGCAGGCGCGAAAACUUUACAAUGCAGGAAACUGUGAUAAGGGAACUCCGAGUGCCCGUAUACGCGGGCUGUCCAGGUGUUUAAAAAUCAUCUGAAGAAAGGGCCGGGCAAGACCGGUGCCAGCCGCCGCGGUAAUACCGGCGGCUCGAGUGGUGGCCACUAUUAUUGGGCUUAAAGCGUCCGUAGCUGGACCGAUAAGUCUCUUGGGAAAUCCGCCGGCUCAACCGGCGGGCGUCUAAGGGAUACUGUUAGUCUAGGGACCGGGAGAGGUGAGAGGUACUCCGGGGGUAGGAGUGAAAUCCUGUAAUCCCCGGGGGACCACCGAUGGCGAAGGCAUCUCACCAGAACGGCUCCGACAGUGAGGGACGAAAGCUGGGGGAGCGAACCGGAUUAGAUACCCGGGUAGUCCCACCCGUAAACUAUGCGCGUUAGGUGUAUCGAUGACCACGAGUCAUCGAGGUGCCGAAGGGAAACCGUGAAACACGCCGCCUGGGAAGUACGGUCGCAAGGCUGAAACUUAAAGGAAUUGG